GCUAGCGUUGUUCGGAUUUACUGGGCGUAAAGCGCACGUAGGCGGAUCGAUCAGUCAGGGGUGAAAUCCCAGGGCUCAACCCUGGAACUGCUUUGAUACUGUCGAUCUGGAGUAUGGAAGAGGUGAGUGGAAUUCCGAGUGUAGAGGUGAAAUUCGUAGAUAUUCGGAGGAACACCAGUGGCGAAGGCGGCUCACUGGUCCAUUACUGACGCUGAGGUGCGAAAGCGUGGGGAGCAA
rnacentral:rRNA from 1 species